CUUGCGGUCAUACCACGUUGAAACACCAAUUCCCUUAUGAUCAACGAAGUUAAGCAACGUCGAAACUGGUCAAUAGCUUGAUGGGCGACCGAAUCGGAGUAACAAGUGCUGUAA